UCUCCGCCGCUGCGGGAUGUUUCUAUGACUAAAUAGAGUGGUCGUGAUGGAAAAUAAUGGCACAUAAAGAACUUACUGACUUGUCGUUCUUCACUAUAUGAAGAGAGAAAUGCAACUGAGCUAGAUAGUAAUGCACGUGCCCUGCUUCUCCAUCUUGCGCUGCACUCAUCUUUCUACGCUGAUAUCGAAUUCAAGAGAAAGUGGAAGAAUUGAGGAAGAUGAAAACUAUGAGAUCCAGUAUUGUUAGAGAAAAUUGUGCGUGAAAAACAUGUAACAACACAGUGGUCUUAUAAUUUAUAUGCUUAUUCUUUCUGCAUCAAUCUAAACAGAAGUUGUAAAAUUUUUACGAGAAAUACGAUUAACCCUGUAAAAGUUUGAUUCCUUUCA